rnacentral:rRNA from 1 species
UGGGGAAUAUUGCACAAUGGGCGCAAGCCUGAUGCAGCCAUGCCGCGUGUAUGAAGAAGGCCUUCGGGUUGUAAAGUACUUUCAGUCGGGAGGAAGGUGGUAAGGUUAAUAACCUUAUCAAUUGAUGCUACCGACAGAAGAAGCACCGGCUAACUCCGUGCCAGCAGCCGCGGUAAUACGGAGGGUGCAAGCGUUAAUCGGAAUUACUGGGCGUAAAGCGCACGCAGGCGGUUGAUUGAGUCAGAUGUGAAAUCCCCUGGCUUAACCCGGGAAUUGCAUCUGAUACUGGUCAGCUAGAGUCUUGUAGAGGGGGGUAGAAUUCCAUGUGUAGCGGUGAAAUGCGUAGAGAUGUGGAGGAGUACCGGUGGCGAAGGCGGCCCACUGGACAAAGACUGACGCUCAGGUGCGAAAGCGUGGGGAGCAAACAGG